ACUUCUUCAGGUGUAUUAUUUUCUGGUGCAACUUCUGCAGCUGUAACCUCUUCUGGUGCAACUUCUGCAGCUGUAACCUCCUCUGUUGCAACGACUUCUGGUGCAACUUCUGCAGCUGUAACCUCUUCUGGUGCAACUUCUGCAGCUAUAACCUCUUCUGUUGCAACGACUUCUGGUGCAACAUCUGCAGCUGUAACCUCUUCUGCAGUAGCAAUUUCUGAUCCAACUUCUGCAGCUGUGACCUCUUCUGUUAUAACAACUUCUGGUGCAACAUCUGCAGCUGUAACCUCUUCUGUUGUAGCAGUUUCUGAUGCAAUUUCUGCAGCUGUAACCUCUUCUGUUGCAACAACUUCUGGUGUGACAUCUGCAGCUGUAACCUCUUCUGUUGCGACAACAUCUGCAGCUGUAACCUCUUCUGGUGCAGCAGCUGUAACCUCUUCUAUUGCAACAACUUCUGGUGCGACAUCUGCAGCUGUAACUUCUUCUGUUGCGACAACUUCUGCAGCUGCAACCGCUUCUUUUGCAACAUCUGCCGCUGUAACCUCUUCUUUUGUAGCAAUUUCUGAUGCAACUUCUGCAGCUUUAACCUCUUCUGUCGCAACAACUUCUGAUGCAACAUCUGCUGGUGUAACCUCUUCUAUUGUAACAACUUCUGGUGCAACAUCUGCUGGUUUAAGAUCUGUUGGAGCAAUGUCUACUGGGGUAAUAUCUUCUGGUGCAACAUCUUUUGGAGGAACAUCUACUGGUGGAAGAUCUACUGACGUAACAUUUAUGGGUUCUGGUAUAACAUCUUCUGGUGUGGCAUCUUUUGGAGUGACAUCUGAUGGUGCAACAUCUGUUGGAGUGACAUCUUCUGGUGGAACUAUGAUGGGCUCUGGUACAACACUUUCUGGUGAAACACCUGUUGUUUCUGCAGGGAGAACCUCUGCUGGUUCAACUGGAGCUUUGUCCUCAGGUGGUUGCUCCUCAGCUGGAGGUGAAGGCUCCUCUUUUAGGACUUUGGCAUCAGGAGCAGAUUCACCACUUUCUUCUGACACCUUCAGGACCUCUAGGGUGGAGGCAGCUGCCAGCACUGCAACAGAAAAUCCAGCCAUCCAAACGUCACUAGGGCUCAGAAGGUAUUUUUCCACAUUUAGAUCACAGGCUGAGGAGCUUAGGUCCAGCUUCUUUUAUCUGUGCACAUGCAGAGGACACAUGAAACCUGAUGGAAACUUGACUGUGGGUUUCUGA
rnacentral:lncRNA from 1 species